UCGUCACACUAUCAUUAACUGAAUCCAUAGGUUAAUGAGGCGAACCGGGGGAACUGAAACAUCUAAGUACCCCGAGGAAAAGAAAUCAACCGAGAUUCCCCCAGUAGCGGCGAGCGAACGGGGAGGAGCCCAGAGCCUGAAUCAGCAUGUGUGUUAGUGGAAGCGUCUGGAAAGGCGCGCGAUACAGGGUGACAGCCCCGUACACAAAAGCGCAUGUGCUGUGAGCUCGAUGAGUAGGGCGGGACACGUGGUAUCCUGUCUGAAUAUGGGGGGACCAUCCUCCAAGGCUAAAUACUCCUGACUGACCGAUAGUGAACCAGUACCGUGAGGGAAAGGCGAAAAGAACCCCGGCGAGGGGAGUGAAAAAGAACCUGAAACCGUGUACGUACAAGCAGUGGGAGCACAGGUUUACCUGUGUGACUGCGUACCUUUUGUAUAAUGGGUCAGCGACUUAUAUUCUGUAGCAAGGUUAACCGAAUAGGGGAGCCGGAGGGAAACCGAGUCUUAAUUGGGCGUUAAGUUGCAGGGUAUAGACCCGAAACCCGGUGAUCUAGCCAUGGGCAGGUUGAAGGUUGGGUAACACUAACUGGAGGACCGAACCGACUAAUGUUGAAAAAUUAGCGGAUGACCUGUGGCUGGGGGUGAAAGGCCAAUCAAACCGGGAGAUAGCUGGUUCUCCCCGAAAGCUAUUUAGGUAGCGCCUCGUGAAUUCAUCUCCGGGGGUAGAGCACUGUUUCGGCUAGGGGGCCAUCCCGGCUUACCAACCCGAUGCAAACUGCGAAUACCGGAGAAUGUUAUCACGGGAGACACACGGCGGGUGCUAACGUCCGUCGUGAAGAGGGAAACAACCCAGACCGCCAGCUAAGGUCCCAAAGUCAUGGUUAAGUGGGAAACGAUGUGGGAAGGCCCAGACAGCCAGGAUGUUGGCUUAGAAGCAGCCAUCAUUUAAAGAAAGCGUAAUAGCUCACUGGUCGAGUCGGCCUGCGCGGAAGAUGUAACGGGGCUAAACCAUG
rnacentral:rRNA from 1 species